CCAGAAAAUACCUAUAGUAUAUUUGCACUAUUUAAAUUCUGUCUCAAGACGAGAACGUCUAUUACGAUUUUGAGAGGACAUCUUGCACAUCAACAAUCAUGAAGAGCUUCAUCCUCAUCGCAGUGCUGUCAACCUUGUCAGUCUGCCUAGGCGCAGCUGUGCAGCGUUCCGAUAUUCCCGUAGACAUAGGCGUUGCUAAACCCGGAGAUUGGGUUUUGGUACAAGCAGAAACUCGGGCCAACCCACUGGAGAAUUAUAUAACCUCAAUAACUGUGCGAACUCGAUUGGAUCCUAGAUACCGGGUCAAUAUGCUGAGGCUCAUCGAUAGAAAUCCAGCCCAAGGAGCUGUAAUUUCAAACAUAGGAGGGGUUGGAACGAACGAAGUCAGCUUUAUAGUAACAUCUCAGCCCCAUGAUGGAUUCCAUAUUACUUCUCAGCUGUGGGGAGAGGACUUGACUGCAGGGACAGGCGCUGUGCGCUCCUUAGAGCCUACAGAAUGUAUUAUGACAGUGGAUAAUGGAAAAACUGUUCAAACAUAUUACUGCAAUGAAAUGGUUCACUGGAGUCAAUAGAUUGUUCAUUCAUUAUUGGAGUCAAAUAAAUUAUUCAUUC